rnacentral:rRNA from 1 species
UACGUAGGCAGCAAGCGUUGUUCGGAGUUACUGGGCGUAAAGAGUGCGUAGGUGGUGCCCUAAGUCUGUUGUGAAAUCUCCCGGCUUAACUGGGAGGGUGCGGUGGAAACUGGGGUGCUUGAGUGUGGGAGAGGUAAGCGGGAUUCCUGGUGUAGCGGUGAAAUGCGUAGAUAUCAGGAGGAACACCGGUGGUGUAGACGGCUUACUGGACCACGACUGACACUGAGGCACGAAAGCGUGGGUAGCAAACAGG